AGGAUAAACGCUGGCGGCGUGCUUCAGGCAUGCAAGUCGAACGGACAGUUUGGCUUCGGCCAAACUGUUAGUGGCGGACGGGUGAGUAACACGUAAGUAACCUGCCCGGAAGUGGGGAAUAACAAGCCGAAAGGCUUGCUAAUACCGCAUGUGAAGGCUCUUCCUCGGAUGAGUCUUGAAAGGUGUAAAUCGCUUCCGGAGGGGCUUGCGGUCGAUUAGCUAGUUGGUGGGGUAAUGGCCUACCAAGGCGACGAUCGAUAGCUGGUCUGAGAGGACGGUCAGCCACACGGGGACUGAGAUACGGCCCCGACUCCUACGGGAGGCAGCAGCUAGGAAUCUUGGGAAUGCGCGAAAGCGUGACCCAGCAACGCCGCGUGGGCGAUGAAGGCCUUCGGGUCGUAAAGCCCUUUUGCAGGGGACGAUAGUGACGGUACCUUGCGAAUAAGCCACGGCUAACUACGUGCCAGCAGCCGC
rnacentral:rRNA from 1 species